rnacentral:lncRNA from 1 species
CUCUAAAAAUCUCUGACUCCCUUCUACCAUCUCCUCUUCCACUUGGCUUCCCUAAUAAAACCAGCUUCAUCAAAAAAAAAAAAACAACGUCUCCUCCUCCUCCUCAAGAAAACCGGCCAUGUAUUUCCUAAAACCGACCUAAACCAACCUAUGGUCUCCAGUCUCCUCCUCCCUAACAAAACCGAGUUACCUAACAACAAACCGUCCUCCUCCCAGCCUUUUCUUAUUGGAAGAGAAAAUAAAAUGAAUAAACGGUAACAAUAAUUGUACUCUAUACCUCUCAUUCAUUACCUAUGUGUGUAAACCACCAUCAAUGUC